AUUGAACGCUGGCGGCAGGCUUAACACAUGCAAGUCGAGCGGGGUGAUGGUGCUUGCACUAUCACUUAGCGGCGGACGGGUGAGUAAUGCUUAGGAAUCUGCCUAUUAGUGGGGGACAACAUCUCGAAAGGGAUGCUAAUACCGCAUACGUCCUACGGGAGAAAGCAGGGGAUCACUUGUGACCUUGCGCUAAUAGAUGAGCCUAAGUCGGAUUAGCUAGUUGGUGGGGUAAAGGCCUACCAAGGCGACGAUCUGUAGCGGGUCUGAGAGGAUGAUCCGCCACACUGGGACUUAGACACGGCCCAGACUCCGACGGGAGGCAGCAUUGGGGAAUAUUGGACAAUGGGGGGAACCCUGAUCCAGCCAUGCCGCGUGUGUGAAGAAGGCCUUAUGGUUGUAAAGCACUUUAAGCGAGGAGGAGGCUCUUUUGGUUAAUACCCAAGAUAAGUGGACGUUACUCGCAGAAUAAGCACCGGCUAACUCUGUGCCAGCCGCCGCCGUAA
rnacentral:rRNA from 1 species